GACGAACGCUGGCGGCGUGCCUAAUACAUGCAAGUAGGACGCAGUUGCGAACGGGUGAGUAACGCGUAGGUCACUGCCUAUUAGAGGGGGAUCACUAUUGGAAACGAUAGCUAAUACCGCAUACUAGUAGAUGGACCUGCGUUGUAUUAGCUAGUAGGUAGGGGAAUGGCCUACCUAGGCGACGAUACCUAACCGACUUGAGAGGGUGAUCGGCCAUAGUGGGACUGUGAAAAGGCCCAGACUCCUACGGGAGGCAGCAGUAGGGAAUCUUCGGAAAUGGGGGGAAACCUGACCGAGCAACGGCGCGUGAGUGAAUGAGGUUUUCGGAUCGUAAAGCUCUGUUGUUAAGGAAGCGGUACGUAACCAGAAAGGGACGGCUAACGACGUGCCAGCAGCCGCGGUAAUAC
rnacentral:rRNA from 1 species